UUUGUUGUAGCAACUCAAAGCCCUCGUCAUACGACAGACUACUGUGAGAAAUAGAAGAAGGUUCAAUAACAA